UGCACACAGGUGCUGCAUGGCUGUCGUCAGCUCGUGUCGUGAGAUGUUGGGUUAAGUCCCGCAACGAGCGCAACCCUUGCCAUUAGUUGCUACGAAAGGGCACUCUAAUGGGACUGCCGGUGACAAACCGGAGGAAGUGGGGAUGACGUCAAGUCCUCAUGGCCCUUAUAGGUGGGGCUACACACGUCAUACAAUGGCCGGUACAGAGGGUAGCCAACCCGCGAGGGGGAGCCAAUCCCACAAAGCCGGUCGUAGUCCGGAUCGCAGUCUGCAACUCGACUGCGUGAAGUCGGAAUCGCUAGUAAUCGCGGAUCAGCAUGUCGCGGUGAAUACGUUCCCGGGUCUU
rnacentral:rRNA from 1 species